rnacentral:rRNA from 1 species
GUAGGGAAUAUUGGGCAAUGGUCGGAAGACUGACCCAGCCAUGCCGCGUGCAGGAAGACGGCCCUCUGGGUUGUAAACUGCUUUUAUCUGGGAAGAAAAAGGCCAUGCGUGGCAAAUUGCCGGUACCAGAUGAAUAAGCACCGGCUAACUCCGUGCCAGCAGCCGCGGUAAUACGGAGGGUGUGAGCGUUGUCCGGAUUUAUUGGGUUUAAAGGGUGCGUAGGCGGCUGAUUAAGUCAGCGGUGAAAGACUUCGGCUUAACCGGAGCAGUGCCGUUGAUACUGGUUGGCUUGAGUGUCGGAGGGGUACAUGGAAUUGAUGGUGUAGCGGUGAAAUGCAUAGAUACCAUCAGGAACACCGAUAGCGAAGGCAUUGUACUGGCCGACAACUGACGCUGAUGCACGAAAGUGUGGGGAUCGAACAGGAUUAGAAACCCUGGUAGUCC